rnacentral:misc_RNA from 1 species
UUAAGUUCAGCGGGUAUCCCUACCUGAUCCGAGGUCAACCUGAAAAAAUUUGGGGGUUGCUGGCGGGCACGCGGCCGGGCCUCCAGAGCGAGAAGAAUUACUACGCUCGGAGCCGGACGGCACCGCCACUGACUUUAGGGCCCGCCGGGGCGGCGGGGCCCAACACCAAGCAGAGCUUGAGGGUUGUAAUGACGCUCGGA